rnacentral:lncRNA from 1 species
GGGGUGUCUACAACCAGGUUCCAGCACUGCUCUACAAAAACAGAGCCACUCCUCCGACCUGGGCUCCCAGCACGGAACACCAGUUGGCAUGGCAUCUUACCACCAAGCCCAACUAUGACCUCAGAGUCCUUCUCAACACUGCACUCCACAAAGCCUCUAACAAGGAUCAGAGUAGGCACUGGAGAUGAAGCCUACUGCGAGUUCCUCUCCUAAUUUAUCCUCCAUCCUAACACACCAACAGUCCUUGACUUUAGUCUACUGGUUAAAUGAGGAAAGAAGUAAUAAGCAGGAACUAUGACCCAAGUCCACCAGAGAGCAACGAUGAGCAAAAACACCUCAUUUCAUGCCCAUAUGGAGCUCACAGUCAAAGGAGGGUGACAGAUGGAUCAAACCAUCCCAUAGCUUACUUCGAAGUCACAGCUGGCAUCAGUAUUACAAAGAGAAGUUACAGGGUUCCAUGAGAGUGUAAGAGUCAAAAUUAUGACCUACUCAGAGAUGUCAAGGGCAGCUAAGAAAACAAGAGGCCUGAACCGACAUGAAGGAAGCCUCCAUGCUGGAAAGAUCACACGGAGAGACUAAAUAAAAAUAGAGAGACAUUCCUGACAGUUCAGCUGUGCCAGCCCCCAGUGGUUUGAGUCUCCCCAGCUCAGGCACCAGACACAUGACUGACCCUUCAGACGAUUCCAGCCUUCUAUCUACUUCAACUGAUGCCAAGUAGAAUAGAGGCAUCUGCUUCACAGGGGGAGAUCCUGCCCUAGUAAGCUUACCACCCGAACAGCCAAUAAUAUGAGCACCCCGAAGACAGAUGCUUCCAAAAGAGAGAAGGUCACUGAGUUGCACACGCCGACUGUCUUCUUCAGAAUAUCAUCGGAUGUUGCUCCUUCUCGCUUGUGUUGAGUAAGAGAAGGGAAUAAAAGUUCCCUGCCACCAUGCGAGUGGGAGGAAUGGGGAGAGAAGCAUGUCUCCCUCACCCAAGCCAGCAUUGGCCCCAGGUGGGAAAAGCCAGCUGGCGAAUGGAGGCCACCCUGAGCCAAGAGAUGGAGAGAUCCUUGAUAAGAUCCUUUGAAUGACUGCAUCCAGCCAGCCAGACGUUAUGUGAGCCCAUGAAUUCUCCUUUGUGAAGUUUAUCUUGAGGUUCUGUCACUCUUUGUCAAGAAUCCUAAUGGAGAUAUGGUUGAAGAGAUGCUCCCAUGGCACCAAAGUAGAAAUUAUAUAAAAGAUAUUUCCAGAUCACAGAGAAGAGAGCUUUUCUGUUAGGUUUUGUUGUUGCUGUUGUUUUUGUUUUGGUUUUGGUUUUUUGGUUUUUUACUGGAGUAACAUGUUUGGCCCUGAAGUUGGAAAGUUAUUGUAAAAGUUCAAAAGUGAACUGAUGAGGAUAUUGACCACUUACUAGUCACUAGUUUAUUGAUAGUGACUAAAGCAAAG